rnacentral:lncRNA from 1 species
ACGCAAGGACUAAACCACCAGGAAUGAAGAUCUCAUCUCUUUCUCAUUUUCAUGACUUCUGUUACCUGCAGCAAUGUUUGAUAUAACUGCUUUCCAACCCUCACCAGAGAGACUCUUUCUCUUUGCCAUGCCCUGGAGUUUUCAGCAUUGCUCAACUCGAGCUUUAUUUAGAUAGGACUGUUUUUUCUUUUUUCUUUUUUUUUUGGCAGUCAGUUUUCCCUUGUUAAAUCCUGAGUGCUCUGGCACUCAGUCAUUUCAGAGUAAUUUAUUCAUGUUUACCUUGGUUUUCCUCCACAGAAAAUUAAAAGAUGCUCUCACUAACGUGGCCAUUACUCUCUGGAAUUGUGUCCAGUAAGCCUCUGCUCCCACAGGACCUCCCGUACAGCCACACCGGAGAGGUAGCUGCUUCCAGAAGCUGUAUUGUUCUCCUGCAAAGCUGUUCUGUUCCUACUCUGUGCUUCUGCAGAUAGUCUACACAGGAUGUAUGAAGUUUGGGAAGACUUUUAAAAGACUUUGGGCUAAAUACCAGAUCUGGAAACUAUGAGGUAAGAUCAGUCUUCUAGUGCUUAUGGGUGUAUUUACAUUAUCUCAUAAAAAUAGGUGCUGAUUCAGGUGCUGUCUGUAUGUGCAGCUAUAAUAAGAUUUCAGUUUGGAUUUUCAUUGGUCAGUUAUAUUAUUUGAUGUUCAAGAUGAGCUCCAAAGAUUAAUUUCUCUCCAUCUCCCGCAUCUCACACUGAGAUCCAUUUUUUUAUUUAUUUUUUUUUUUCCAGCUCAGUCUUCAGGUUAUUUGAUAAUGCAGCUGCUGGUAUUCGCUCCAUGAAACCAAUUGUCUUAUGAGUUAAGUGCCAUGAGGCCCUGUGCUGGCUGUUUUUAUAAUGACAGUUUUCCUGGGAAAAUAGCAGCACACUUAGACUCAGAUUCACAAAUGCAUGCAAUUCAGAGCUUUAUACUACACAGUCAUUUGCAAAGAGAACAAAACAAAACAAAACCA